rfam:Aedes aegypti strain Liverpool supercont1.109 genomic scaffold, whole genome shotgun sequence.
UGUCCAGUAACUCCUAUCCCUACCUCCCCGUGAUGCAGCCUGGGGUACGAGUAACCGUAGGGAAGAUCAGGUAAUCAACCCCGGUAGGACCUUGCUCGUAUGCUGACAGGGAAGA